UCCAGUAUUAUAUAUCAAGCUAUAAACAUUAACCAAAAAACUUAUUAAAAUAUUACAGAAAAAUUUAAUAUACAAAAGCAAAUUCCAUUUUUCCUACCAUGUAACACCCGGAUCUUUUUUUUUUUUUUUUCAUGUUGGACGUACUUAACAAGCAACCAAUUUCAUAAUCAAACAGUCAUGCACAAGAAAACACUAGCAUAAUCCAUUAUUCAAUUAUCGAGAUAACCUACAAUCAUGUACAAGACAUCUCACACAAUACAACCAUACUCAAAAUCUAUGCUAUCAUCAAUUCUACAUAUUCCAUUCAGUCGAAAUAAAACGAAACUCCUCAUCCUGUACUCUACACACUAGGAUCAGAAUCCAACAGCUUCGAUCCAGACCCCAUCCCUACAUCAUCUGAAAAAAGAAAAGAGUGAGUUCCUUUAACUCAGUACAGUAAAACUCAAAAUAUAUGCGUGAAAUGCAACAGUAUAAAACCCUAUGCCUCUACUAAUCGUUCACUACUGAACUCAAAUUUUCCCUCCUGCACCUACAAUUCUACCUACCCUAGGUGUCCGUUCCCCGACGGCACUCUAGGCAUGCCAGUGAUACCAUUCAUCGCCAAGGUUGGCAACCAUUAACCACCUAUCAACCCCUAGUGGGCCACGCACGCACACGAGUUUCAAUCAUUUUCGUCACCAACAGCGGCGACCAUCUGUCACCUAUCGACCCCCCAUCAGGCCACACACGCACACUCUAAUCAUUCUCUCCCGUCACCACCUUCGGCGACCGUUAGCCAUCUCACGACCUAUACCAGGCCACUCACACUCACACUAUUUUCAUUCACUUGCGUCGCCAUCAUCGGCGACCGUUCUCCAUCUCUCAACCUAUACCAGGCCACUCACACACACUCUGAUCAUUCUCUCCCGUCACCACCAUUGGCGACCGUUAGCCAUCUUACGACCCAUACCAGGCCACUCAUACACACACUAUUUUCAUUCGUUUGCGUCGCCAUCAUCGGCGACCGUUAGCCAUCUCUCGACCUAUACCAGGCCACUCACACACACUCUAAUCAUUCUUUCCCGUCACCGAUAUCGGCGACCACUAACCACCUCUCGACCUAUACCAGGCCACGCACGCACACCAUUUUCAUUCACUUGCGUCACCAACAUCGGCGACCAUCGUCUACCUAUCGACCCUCAUCGGCCACACCCACAUACACUACUCCUUCUCGUCCACUGUCUCUCUCCGCCUGCUACCUGCGACAUAUCCUAAUUGCCCCCACUCACCCCCUCUUUCUUCCCCCAAGGUUCCAACUACCACUCCACUUCCCCAAGCAUCUCACUCCCCCGGUGGAUCUCACUCACCCGGUGGAUCCUUCCCUUCUCUAACCUUCACUCACUGCCCCUCCCUAACUCUCUCUCGGCUACAACCUCCCGCCACACCGUCGCGCCACACCAUCCUUCUCACCUCACUCACCCCGCGGGUUCUUCCCUUCACCAGCGUUCCUCCACUGCCUCCUGCUAUCUCUCUCUCGGCUACAACAACCCGCCACACAAUCACACCACAUCGUCCUUCUCACCUCACUCACCCCAUGGACUCUUCCCUUCCCCUGCGUUCCCCUACUGCCUCCACCUAUCUCUCUCUCCGACUACGUCCUCACACCACAACCUCUCCCUAUCUCCUUCCGCGUUGCUCACACACCUCACUCACCCCACAGACUCUUUCCUUCCCCUGCGUUCCCCUACUGCCUCCACCUAUCUCUCUCUCCGACUACGUCCUCACACCACAACCUCUCCCUAUCUCCUUCCGCGUUGCUCACACACCUCACUCACCGCCACACCGUUCGCCGCCCGCACCGUCGCCUUCUCUCUCUCUCCUCCCGCAAUCCUCACGCGAUUACUUCCUUUGCUCGCACACCUUCUUUCUCUCUACCAACCUCCACUCACUCUGCACCCCUAUCUCUCUCCUCUCACGAUCUUCACUCGGUCCAUUUCCUUCCAACUGCCUCACUACACCUACUCACCCGGUCCCUUCCAUACCCUGCUAACUCCGUAACCCGUGACCACGCACGCUACAUAUCUAACCAUUUCACACUCAAAUCAACACACACAUUUAGAGUUAGUUACCAUACCUCUCAUUUCCAUUUUUCCUUCUUUCAGCCGAAUGUGCUCUCACUGUCCGCGAUCUCCUCUUCUCCCCGCUCCGCUUCCUUCCUCUCUCCUUCUGGAAUCUUCCUUCCUCUCCUCUUUCUCUCUCCCGCUCCCCUUCUUCCCCUGCUCCCCUUUUUCCUUUUCUUUUUUUUUUCUUUUCCUUCCUCUCUUCCUUCCUUCCCCCGCCUCCUACUUAAAUCACCAUAGUUUUCCUUCAAAACGGCGUCGUUUUCCUCCUUGCAAAACGAC
rnacentral:lncRNA from 1 species